rnacentral:rRNA from 1 species
GACGAACCGUGCGAACGUUAUUUGGAAUCACUGGGCUUAAAGCGCGUGUAGGCGGGUCGGCACGUCGGUCGCUGAAAUCCCCCGGCUCAACCGGGGAAGGGGCGCCGAUACGGCCGGCCUGGAGGGACGUAGGGGGGGCUGGAACUUCCGGUGGAGCGGUGAAAUGCGUUGAGAUCGGAAGGAACGCCCGUGGCGAAAGCGAGCCCCUGGACGUCUACUGACGCUGAGACGCGAAAGCCAGGGGAGCGAACGGG